GGGGACGUAGCUCAGCCGGGAGAGCGCGGCGUUCGCAAUGCCGAGGUCGGGAGUUCGAUCCUCCUCGUCUCCACCA
rnacentral:tRNA from 1 species